CUCUGUAUCAUGCGGAGCUUCAACAUCCACCUGGAAAUUCCAUGAAGGAAUGAGUCUGAAUAUUGCUUGCUUCAAGUCCACACCACAUUCUCACCCUUUUAUCUUUCAUUACUUUGUCUUUUCCUUAAGAAUAACUUCAUGAAAACUAGGAAGAAUUUUCCAAAUAUGCAUUUUCAUUUCUUCCUCUUUCCUCUGUCCCCUAGAACUUCAUUCUUCUUAUGUUCAGAGACGAUCCAUAUUGAAAGGAAUGGGAGGAAAGAAAUGUCUGUCAGCACUUUCAGAAGGGGAACUGGCCUCUCUAGUAUUGGAAGUAACAUAAGGAGAAGCAGGACACAACAAUGCUCUAUAGAAGCACGUAGUUCUGUCUGUGCCCUGCAAAUGGCAGUUCACCGUCAGCCACAAAGUCUGCAAAUCGGACUUUGUGAGCGGAGUUUAUUUUUUCUUUGAAACUAUCAAUCAAGGAGACUGCAGCAGACAUAUGGAGCUCUUUAUGAUAUGCCUUGUGCAGAAGUGGGAUUAUAAAAGAGUUAAAAACAUUGCCUUUAAUUUCUCUGACUACUCCACUGACAAUGAAGUGAAGUAGAUCAGGCUAGACUGGAGGAACUUUUAUACUGGAAGAGGAUCACUCUGCUGAGGCUAUGGGAGGCACAAAAGAAACAUACAGAAACCAAAAUGCACUGAAUCAUGCUGGUCAAUUAAAGGGCACAGCAUUGCCACCCAAAUGGAGGGGAGCAGGAAUCCACAAUACAGUCAGCUCCAACCACAUCCAAACAUGCGUAUUUCACAAUGAAAGCGUCUGUAGUGAUCUGUAGUGAAUCUGGAGCCACCCACAUGUUGGGUAUUUUGUUUGUUUUAAACUGACACGCUGCUUUCCAGGACUGAUAAAUGAAUGGAAGAUGGAAGUGAAAGGGAGUAAAUAAAUCUCACACGGAGAAAUAAAUACAUUUUCCCUCUUCACAGCAUCAGCCAAACCCUGUGGGAAGUAGGAUGUGUGUCAUUUUAUCAUCUCACAAACUGAUGAAGUUGACAUUAAUUGGAAGAAUAAACUAACUUAG
ensembl:lncRNA